AUUGAACGCUGGCGGCAGGCCUAACACAUGCAAGUCGGGCGAGUGGCGGACGGGUGAGUAAUGUAUGGGGAUCUGCCUGAUGGAGGGGGAUAACUACUGGAAACGGUAGCUAAUACCGCAUACCAUCAGAUGUACCCAUAUGGGAUUAGCUUGUAGGUGGGGUAACGGCUCACCUGGGCGACGCUCCCUAGCUGGUCUGCGAGGAUGAACAGCAAAACUGGGACUGAGACACGGCCCAGACUCCUACGGGAGGCAGCAGUGGGGAAUAUUGCACAAUGGGCGCAAGCCUGAUGCAGCCAUGCCGCGUGUAUGAAGAAGGCCUUCGGGUUGUAAAGUACUUUCAGUCGGGAGGCGUUACCGACAGAAGAAGCACCGGCUAACUCCGUGCCAGCCGCCGCGGUAAUUC
rnacentral:rRNA from 1 species